ACUUUCUUCAGGGCUAGCAGAUGAAGGCAGCAAGGAAAACACCACCACAAGACCGACUUUAGGCUGGAGCUGAUGAUGCCACACGGAAAAUAGACUCAGAAAUGAAACUCAACUAAAGGUAAAAGAUGUCUGGAACAUCUCCAAGAAAGCCAGAGUCAGCCUCUAAACUUUGCAUCAAGAAUGGCAAUGGCUUCCCUGAGGGCCCAGGGACGCUUGGCAGCUGUGAGGGAUCCCCUUCUCUGCUAUCAAGGAACUGGACACUUCUCCUGUCCCUUCCCACAAGGUAUAAUAUUAGGCAGAAACCCAAUUUAAAAAGAAAAGCAGAGCUGUUGUAGAUUCAGCGAGGGUUGGCGACCUGGUUCCAAUGAGCCAUCUCCCUGUUCCGACAGGGGCUUCCUGGAGCUCCUGCAACCCCAGGCAUUAGUUCCAGUGCAGUUCUAGGAUCAGAUCAAUUCACUCGACAACAAGAGAAACAAAUGGAGAUUCCUACACAAAGACUUUCAAGCACAAAGAAAUCCUGCUGCCUAUAAAGCAGAGCUGCCUCAGCUCUUGAUGAACGACAGAAAAUACCACCUACUGCCAGACCUCUUCGCCUCACAAAACUCUCACCCACCUACUGCUUUUAGCUCAAAUUCCAGGAAUUCAGAUGAAGUGAAGUGCUCUCAUGGGGACCAGGCGUGGGUAUGCCAGUCCACUGCCCUGCAAGUCUCAAGGGAAACCAACUGCCCAUCAGCAAGUCACACCUGCCUUGGUGGAGGCAUUGAUUGGAAGGGCCACAGGCUACAUGUCCAGUCCUGAGUGGGAGAAUCGGUGUAGGGAUGUUCUGGGGAUGCUGGCUGUGGCUAGAUCAGGUCCA
rnacentral:lncRNA from 1 species